UCCGUAGGCGGUGUGGUAAGUCGAUAGUGAAAUCUCUGGGCUUAACUCAGAGGCUGCUAACGAAACUGCCAUGCUCGAGUGUGAGAGAGGCGAGUGGAAUUACGGGUGUAGCGGUGAAAUGCGUAGAUAUCCGUAGGAACAUCCGAGGCGAAAGCGGCUCGCUGGAUCACAACUGACGCUGAGGGACGAAAGCUAGGGGAGCAAACA
rnacentral:rRNA from 1 species